rnacentral:lncRNA from 1 species
UUUGGCCCUCAGAAACACCCUUCAAGGUGCAUUGAUGCAUACAAACAUAAAAACAUCUGUUGGCUGAGUGUGGUGGCUCAUGACUGUAAUCCCAGCAGUUUGGGAAGCUGAGAUAUGAAUGAGAGAACAUGUAGCCUAUUUUCGACUACUGGACAACUUACCUACAAGAUGAAGCCAACAAUGUUGUUAGCACAGAAAGACAAAAUAAAACCUGGAUCCUUGAUCAUAUUACUAAACUGCUGGAUCAAUGAAUUCUGAUACACGCUGCCAAGCAUGUGGGCCAAUAAAUG